AUGCAACCUUUUCACACCAAAAGACUGAACAAAAUGAAGCAUUGCUUGGUAACUGGUCAACAAAGUGUUAAUAGUUGUGUAAAUAUUGUCACACUAACAGUUGUCUGAAGUUUUGGUUGAUUGUAAUCCAUUACAUACCUUUAUUUUAAAGUUAUCUGAGUUUAUCAAGAUGAAUUUUUUCUGACAGUUUAACUCUUGUUAAUGUGAGAGUUCUUGUCAUGUUUUAUUACCAUAUUAUAAACUAUAGCAAAUAAACUGUGAUAAUGUGAGAAAUGUUGAAAGUGUCUGAAUAAAUUUUGGCUCGAUUGAAUAUAAAAUUGUUACAUUGAAGACUAUGCAGUGCUAUUUUACAUUUAAUUAAUAAUUUCUGUACCGGACACCUACAAACUUUAACAUUGUGUAAAUAGCACAAAUAAAAUAGAACAAACAUACAAAUUAAACAAUUUCAAACAGUUCACUUGUUUUCUUUUAGAUGUCCAUGUCCAUUUUACACUAAGCAUUCAGUAGCGACUGAAUUCAGUUGUGAAUAUUAAAUAUUUUAACUACAGUGGUGUUAGGUAUGAUAUCAGUCUGCAUUGUUCAUGGUGGGGUGGGACCCUUUGUGUUGGCCAGAAGGUUGUAUUGACAGCUCUCAGGGAUCCCUGCUCCACCUGUGAACAUAAUAGAGGUUUAUGACACUGAACUGCAUGACCAGCUGGACAAGGUAACAUAUAGAUUUGACAGUUAUACUGUUUUUGGUCUUUAAGAUGUCAAAAGUUGAAUCUGUAAUGUAAUUAACACCUUAAACUCAAGGGCAAAAUUGCCUCUUUGUAUGAGACAGGGGUAGCUGCAGCCUGGAGCAAUGGGCGCGCCGAAAGGUAGGGGUGUGCCGAAAGGUUUCUCAUUGGUGAAAGGAGAUUUACUGCUGGCCAAUCAGCAGUAAACAUUUAUGUAAUUUCCUUAGACAAGGUGGCGGCGAUAAGACGUGAGGUAAUUAUUCAUCGUUUAUACGUUUAUCUAUACUUUAUAAACCACAAAUAUGUAUAUUAAGAUAAGUUUGUUACAAUACGAUCAUAAUUUUUACUUUGCAUUAUAUCUUGCAGCUUUAGUAAUUAGUUUAUUGUUGUUGACAGACAUAUGAAGAGUGAGACAAAACGAUGACCGCAUCGACGGCGAAUCCUUCAGAGAUGAUAGUUUAUAUCUGCGUCCUUUUUGUACAAGAGAGUACAGAAUACAUCCUGUGUCCAACUAAUGCAGAGUAUAUUCAAGCUGCCAACACACUGAUGUGAAGAACCCUUUCCAGAGAAAUAUAGAAAGAAAUGACUGUCUUGUGUUGUGGAGGAUUCAGUGUCUGUUGAGGAUCAUGUGAAUGUGUUAUAAAGUGAGUAUCAGAAACACAUCCAGACACAUGGACUGUCAAAGACCACACGACAGGAAUAUGCUCCUGGAGACGCUGAGAAAGCAUUGAAGGAAUCUCUGUGGAGGAUGUACUCAAAAAAUACACAUACUUCAGGACACCUGCUGGAGGGGACCCGGCUACACCUUUCCUAGCAUACACCUGAUGGAUACUGACUGUAAAAUGUCAAUCAUAGUUCGAGGGCUCAGUGAGGUGACAGAAGAUGGAGAUGUGUGCCAGUGCACCAGCUUUGAUGAAGCUUCAUAACAGCCUUCUGGAUGUAUCCUGCUUUCAACAUUGCAUAUCCACCACACCUAAGAAAGACACCGACUUUCCUUCAGAAGCACAUUGUGAACAUUAGAAGAUGGAGACAAGCACUGUAUGGUUGACUGGAAAUCUAUCAGUCCAGAUGUAAGGAAGACACACAGAGUGGAGCUGGAGCUCAGCAGAUGUGAUGGAUGUAGAUACUGUGGCCUUGGAAAGAAGGGCAUCUUCACAGCUUUCUAUUCAGACAAAGAGUUUGCUGGAUUCUGUUCUAUGGACUGCUACUACAGAAUGAAUGAAUGAAUGGUUUAUCUAUCUAUCUAUCUAUCUAUCUAUCUAUCUUUUUACUUGAAUUGGUGACUGAAACUGAAGCUAAAUAAAACUUUUAGUGGAUAAACCUGUGUCUGUUUGCUUAAUUGGUCAAUGUAACUUAAAACAAUGUUACUAAACUCUUCUGACUAAUAUUUAAAUGUAUUC